GAUAGUGCGCGGGCUGCCCACCUUUCCUGUCAGGUGACUGGGGAAGGCUUCACUGAGAAGCUGACCCUUGACUGAAGACCUGAAGGGAGCAUGAGGGUCGGAAGGGGACAGAGGCUGUCACCCAGGGGACGUCCAUGAGAUCUCACAAGCUCCAGGCGACCAGAGACCUUGUUUGUUAGGCAAAGUGCUCAAGGCCUAGGACAACGGGCGCCACAAAUGGGCGAAUGGACGCGGGGAAUGGAUGAGGAACUCGGUGCGUCCGAAGACCACUUGAGAAGGAAGGGCGACAGCAGGUGCGGAAGGCAGGACGAGGCUGCGGGACCGGCAGGGGGCGAAGCGGCGGGGGAAGGAACCCUGCAGUCAGCCCGGCGGCGGGCGCGCAGCGGGAGGAAGGCGUGCAGACCUCCACGGGGACGUGGGGACAGCGCCGGA